ACGUACACUCCUACGGGAGGCAGCAGUGAGGAAUAUUGGACAAUGGGUGGAAGCCUGAUCCAGCCAUCCCGCGUGCAGGAAGACGGCCCUAUGGGUUGUAAACUGCUUUUAUCUGGGGAUAAACCUACUUACGUGUAAGUAGCUGAAGGUACCAGAAGAAUAAGCACCGGCUAACUCCGUGCCAGCAGCCGCGGUAAUACGGAGGGUGCAAGCGUUAUCCGGAUUUAUUGGGUUUAAAGGGUCCGUAGGCGGACUGAUAAGUCAGUGGUGAAAUCCGACAGCUUAACUGUCGAACUGCCAUUGAUACUGUUAGUCUUGAGUAAGGUUGAAGUGGCUGGAAUAAGUAGUGUAGCGGUGAAAUGCAUAGAUAUUACUUAGAACACCAAUUGCGAAGGCAGGUCACUAAGUCUUAACUGACGCUGAUGGACGAAAGCGUGGGGAGCGAACAGGAUUAGAAACCCGUGUAGUCCCAUG
rnacentral:rRNA from 1 species